rnacentral:rRNA from 1 species
GACGAACGCUGGCGGCGGGCUUAACACAUGCAAGUCGAACGGAGUGGCGAACGGGUGAGUAAUACGUGAGUAACCUGCCCUCCUUUUGGGGAUACGCCUUGGAAACGGGGUAUAAUACCGAAUAAAGGGGGAUGGGGUCGCGGCCUAUCAGGUUGUUGGUGGGGUGAUGGCCUACCAAGGCGGUGACGGGUAGCCGGCCUUAGAGGGUGACCCGCAACAUUGGGACUGGGAUAGGGCCCAGACUGCUACGGGAGGCGGCAGUGGGGCACAUUGGACAAUGGGCGGAAGCAGGCUGCAGGGACGUCUGGUGAGGGAUGACGGGUUUCGGGUUGUAUACCUCUGGCGGUAUCGAGCGGUUAUGUGGAGAAGAAGCGCCGGCUAACUACGUGCCAGCAGCCGCGGUAAUAC